GGCGAAGAGAGUGAAGUUCCUCUCUCUUUUAUUAUGAAGCUUCUCCUGCCCACGAAAAUUGCAUUGCAGAUCCUGGAAGAGUUCUUUUCCGCUGUCCCACGUUAACCACAGAAGUCUCGGGUCAAGGUUCCCCUCCCAGGAUGUGAUUAAUUUGUCUGGUUCAUGCUUCAAGAUAACGUUCAAACACAAUGCAAUUUGAAAUGAUGGGGUUUAUGUAAUUAUAUUUGGGUAGUUGGUGCGUCCUAUGUGGUAAAGAGGAAGAAAACUCGUAUGAUCUAUUUUGGAGCUGUGAGGAAGUUCAGAAACUAUAUCACGCAUCAUGGCAUCAUUCUUCGUCAGUGGUAUCAUAUCCUUCACUUGCACAUGAUCUAUUCUUCGGUCUGGUAAAUCUUUGGAAAUCAAAGUGAUGGUGUUUUCUGUGGCGAACUUUGCUAUGUUGUUUUUAGUGGCAGAUUUGGAUUAGGGUGAAUAAUGUAUCCUUUCGAGGGGAGGUUUAUAAUUCUCAGGUUUACUCUUUAGUCUA